UCUUCCUAUCUAGUAACAGGAAUUUCUCUGAAUUGUGCUUAUAUAUCAAAAAUACUGCCACCAGAGAAAGAGGGUGGAUUACCUCGUCAUGUGGGUAAUAAAACAGAAUGUGCCUUAUUGGGAUUUCUCUUGGAUUUAAAAUGGGAUUAUCAAGAUGUUAGAAAUGAAAUACCAGAAGAAGCAUUGUACAAAAUCUACACCUUCAAUUCUGUUAGGAAGUCCAUGAGUACAGUCCUGAAAAAUUCAGAUGGAAGUUACUGCAUCUUCAGCAAGGGUGUAUCUGAGAUCAUGCUGAAAAAGUGUUUCAAAAUCUUGAGUGCUAAUGGUGAGGCAAAAGUAUUCAGACCCAGGGACCGUGGUGAUAUUGUGAAAACUGUGAUUGAUCCGAUGGCAUCGGAAGGCCUGAGAACCAUCUGUCUGGCAUUCAGAGAUUUCCAAGCAGGAGAGCCAGAACCAUAGUGGGACAACGAGAAUGAUGUCGUCACUGGCCUUACUUGCAUUGCUGUUGUGGGGAUUGAAGAUCCUGUGAGGCCUGAGGUACCAGAGGCAAUAAAGAAGUGCCAGAGAGCUGGCAUUACUGUGCGAAUGGUCACUGGUGAUAAUAUUAAUACUGCUUGUGCUAUUGCUACCAAGUGUGGUAUUUUAUACCCAGGGGAAGAUUUCCUUUGCCUAGAAGGUAAAGACUUUAACCGAAGAAUACGAAAUGAGAAAGGAGAGAUUGAACAAGAGAGGAUAGACAAGAUUUGGCCAAAGCUUCGAGUCCUUGCAAGAUCCUCCCCAUACACUGGUUAAAGGUAUAAUUGAUAGCACUGUUGCCGAGCAACGUCAAGUUGUGGCUGUAACUGGUGAUGGUACAAAUGACAGCCCUGCACUAAAGAAAGCAGACGUUGGAUUUGCAAUGGGCAUUGCUGGAACUGAUGUGGCUAAAGAAGCAUCUGAUAUUAUUCUCACAGAUGACAACUUUACAAGCAUUGUUAAAGCAGUUAUGUGGGGAUGAAAUGUCUAUGACAGCAUCUCAAAGUACCUUCAGUUCCAGCUUCCUGUUAAUGUAGUAGCAGUGAUUGUUGCUUUCACGGGCGCUUGUAUUACUCAAGAUUCACCACUUAAGGCGGUACAGAUGCUGUUGGUAAACCUCAUCAUGGACACCCUGGCCUCCCUGGCCCUGGCAACGGAACCACCUACUGAGUUGCUCCUGCUUCAGAAGCCUUAUGGUAGAAAUAAGCCUCUCAUCUCAUGCACAAUGAUGAAGAAUAUUUUGGGUCAUGCAUUCUACCAGCUCAUAGUGGUUUUUACACUCUUAUUUGCUGGGGAGAAGUUUUUUGAUAUCGACAGUGGAAGGAAUGCUCCUCUGCACAUUCCCCCUCCAAACAUUACACUAUUGUGUUCAAUACCUUUGUGCUGAUGCAGCUUUUCAAUGAAAUAAAUGCCCGGAAAAUUCAUGGUGAAAGAAAUGUGUUUGAAGGAAUCUUUAAUAAUGCCAUCUUCUGCACCAUUGUGCUAGGUACCUUUGUGGUCCAGAUACUAAUUGUGCAGUUUGGUGGCAAACCUUUCAGCUGCUCAGUACUUUCAAUAGAACAGUGGCUGUGGUCAAUAUUCCUGGGAAUGGGGACCUUACUCUGGGGCCAGCUUAUUUCAACAAUUCCAACUAGCCAUUUAAAAUUCCUAAAAGAAGCCGAUCAUGGAACACAAAAGGAAGAAACACCCGAAGAAGAGCUGCCCCGGCCCGUCCACCCCCCCCCCCCAAGCUCCAGGUCCUGGCUCCGGCUCAUUUGUAUGUUUCUGUAG